rnacentral:rRNA from 1 species
GACGAACGCUGGCGGCGUGCUUAACACAUGCAAGUCGAACGGAAAGGCCCUGCUUUUGUGGGGUGCUCGAGUGGCGAACGGGUGAGUAACACGUGAGUAACCUGCCCUUGACUUUGGGAUAACUUCAGGAAACUGGGGCUAAUACUGGAUAGGAGCUCCUGCUGCAUGGUGGGGGUUGGAAAGUUUCGGCGGUUGGGGAUGGACUCGCGGCUUAUCAGCUUGUUGGUGGGGUAGUGGCUUACCAAGGCUUUGACGGGUAGCCGGCCUGAGAGGGUGACCGGCCACAUGGGGGCUGAGAUACGGCCCAGACUCCUACGGGAGGCAGCAGUGGGGAAUAUUGCACAAGGGGCGGAAGCCUGAUGCAGCAACGCCGCGUGCGGGAUGACGGCCUUCGGGUUGUAAACCGCUUUCGCCUGUGACGAAGCGUGAGUGACGGUAAUGGGUAAAGAAGCACCGGCUAACUACGAG